rnacentral:rRNA from 1 species
UACAGAGGGUGCAAGCGUUAAUCGGAAUUACUGGGCGUAAAGCGUGCGUAGACGGUUGCGUAAGUCGGAUGUGAAAUCCCCAGGCUUAACCUGGGAACUGCAUCCGAUACUGGAUGGCUUGAAUCCGGGAGAGGGAUGCGGAAUUCCAGGUGUAGCGGUGAAAUGCGUAGAUAUCUGGAGGAACACCGGUGGCGAAGGCGGCAUCCUGGACCAACACUGACGCUGAGGAGCGAAAGCCAGGGGAGCAAACGGG